ACCACAAUCUCUGCCUUCUCCUUUCCCGUUUCACCCACAACCACAACAACUCAGUAGGCAGCAGCACCUCCACCACCCACAACAACCGCAACACACAAACCACCAUAAUCAGACCAUAUCAAACCCACAAUCCAAAAGCAAAAAACGAUUCUGAAGAUCUGCGAUUGCCCAAAGUUAAAGUCACUGCUGAACUUCUUUCCUAUAACUUACAGAAAUUCGAGAUCUGGGGGAGUCCGAUUCUAGAUGAACGCUGCGAAUCAUCUGGCCGUUGGGGAGACGAUAUGGUUUUAAUAGAACAAAUUGCAGUAACUAUGACAUCUAUUAUAGUCCUCCACAUUAUAAUUUAACGCCCUCUCCACCUAAAGCGUAUGACUGAAGGUUGUCGCGAGUGUUAUAUCAAAGGAGGUCAAUGUAAGAUUGACCACAAAGGAAAAGCUUAUUGUACCAAAGGAACGAAAGGGAAUAAUAGAAGCAGGGUAGUAGCAUUAGCCUCUUCGUUUAUCAAGUUCCAAAAUCAACCAAAGCCUCAACUUUGAACACACCCAUUUGCAAUUUUGGUUGAAUGAUGAGAAAAAGCAGAGCAUGAUUGAAGACAUCUACAACACCAAGAAGCAGAAAAGGCGGAGAAAUAAUUGAAAGGGUUUUUUGGUAUUGGUAUUGGCGGAGGAAUUUGGGUUAGGGGUUGAAGGAUGGGAGGGAGGAAGGUGCUAAGCAAAUACUACUCACCUGUCCAACCUAGAGGCUUGAGGGGUCAAGCACACAUGAUGCUUCCCAUAAGUAGAUGUUAUUGGUGACAAUUAUUUAGGUAUUCGAAGGUUCUGAUUCUACUGCAAAUGUACAAAUGCUUUGCUGAGCUUACCAUCAAGACUGACCCACAAAAUUUCAACUAUAUUGUUGAGUCUGGUGCUACCAGAAAUUUUGAACCUGUGUGAAGAUGAUGAGGCAGCAGAGACAAUAACCAUAAAAGAGAAGUUGGAGAGAUGGAAGAUGCAAUGAAAUCUUUAGAGAACAAAAACCUUGGAUUUGGAAAGAAAAAUGGACAUCAUUACUACACUGGAUGGGAUGAAAUCUAUGAAGUUCUUUUUUUUGUAUUUCAUGGACUUAAUCGGCAGACAAGGUACCCCCACAUGGUACUACUCUUUCUUAUCAAUUUUCAGCUUCGAUCUUCUUGGGUUUAAUCCUUAUUCAAAUAUGUUAAAACUUUUAAGGUUUUUGUUUUAAUUGGUGGUAGUUGAGAAUUGAGUGAGGAUCUUGCAAAAUAUGCGAAAGUGUUAGAAGUAGGGGCUAAUGGAUUAGGCUAUGAGCUGCUAAAAGACUUGGCUCUAUCAGGUUUCCAUUAUUGGCUUCAAGGCUCUUUAUUGUAUGCAUUUUCUUAUGAGACAUUUUGGCUCUAUCUUUGUAUUCAAUAUUGAAGUUAAAGUAGUUA